rnacentral:rRNA from 1 species
UGAGAGCCCCCCCACCCCCCCCCGGGGAAUUUGGAAACUCGUUCAGUUUUCUUACGAAAGACAACCAUUGAAAAUUUUGGACCAAUGGGGGGAAAGGCUUGAUCCCAGCCAAUGCCGGCGUGAGUGAAGAAGGCCUUCCGGGUUGUAAAGCUUCUUUUGUCAGGGAAGAAGACGGUGGGGGCUAAUAUCUUUCGCUAAUGACGGUACCUGAAGAAUAAGCCCGGGCUAACUACGUGCCAGCAGCCGCGGUAAUACGUAGGGUGCAAGCGUUAAUCGGAAUUACUGGGCGUAAGCGUGCGCAGGCGGUUUUGUAAGUCUGACGUGAAAUCCCCGGGCUCAACCUGGGAAUUGCGUUGGAGACUGCAAGGCUAGAAUCUGGCAGAGGGGGGGUAGAAUUCCACGUGUAGCAGUGAAAUGCGUAGAGAUGUGGAGGAACACCGAUGGCGAAGGCAGCCCCCUGGGUCAAGAUUGACGCUCAUGCACGAAAGCGUGGGGAGCAAACAGGAUUAGAUACCCUGGUAGUCCACGCCCUAAACGAUGUCUACUAGUUGUCGGGUUUUAAUUAACUUGGUAACGCAGCUAACGCGUGAAGUAGACCGCCUGGGGAGUACGGUCGCAAGAUUAAAACUCAAAGGAAUUGACGGGGACCCGCACAAGCGGUGGAUGAUGUGGAUUAAUUCGAUGCAACGCGAAAAACCUUACCUACCCUUGACAUGUACGGAAGACCGAAGAGAUUUGGUUGUGCUCGAAAGAGAACCGUAACACAGGUGCUGCAUGGCUGUCGUCAGCUCGUGUCGUGAGAUGUUGGGUUAAGUCCCGCAACGAGCGCAACCCUUGUCAUUAGUUGCUACAUUCAGUUGAGCACUCUAAUGAGACUGCCGGUGACAAACCGGAGGAAGGUGGGGAUGACGUCAAGUCCUCAUGGCCCUUAUGGGUAGGGCUUCACACGUCAUACAAUGGUACAUACAGAGGGCCGCCAACCCGCGAGGGGGAGCUAAUCCCAGAAAGUGUAUCGUAGUCCGGAUCGCAGUCUGCAACUCGACUGCGUGAAGUUGGAAUCGCUAGUAAUCGCGGAUCAGCAUGUCGCGGUGAAUACGUUCCCGGGUCUUGUACACACCGCCCGUCACACCAUGGGAGCGGGUUUUACCAGAAGUAGGUAGCUUAACCGCAAGGAGGGCGCUACCACGGUGAUCGAAGU